rnacentral:snRNA from 8 species
AUUCUUUUGCAGUGGCGAUAUCAUAGCCUAUGAAGUCCAUCUGAGGCGUGAUUAUUGCUGGUUGAAAACUUAACCCAAUACCCCGCUUGGGGCGACUUGAAAUAUA